AAACAUUACAACUUUUUCUAGGUGGAUUUUUAAGUUGGACAUCACAUUAUUAUUCUUAGUCUAACCAUACAUUUUAAUAUUUCCUUUAUCGGUUCAAUAUAGUCCAUUUAACUCCAUCAUCUAAUAUAUAUUUAUAUCCACCGUAUCAUACUCCACCAUAAAAAUAUACAUCUGUUAAAAACCCCUCCCUCUAAUGUGAAACGUUAACAUACAUAUAUAUCAAAGUUACACUAUAUAAAAAUUCUUAACUUUACAC
rnacentral:lncRNA from 1 species